AUUGAACGCUGGCGGCGUGCCUAACACAUGCAAGUCGCACGCGAAAGGGGGCAACCCCAAGUAGAGUGGCGGACGGGCGAGUAACGCGUAGGAAUCUACCUAGUAGUGGGGGACAACCCGGCGAAAGCCGGGCUAAUACCGCAUACGACCUAAGCGUGAAAGCAGGGGAUCGCAAGACCUUGCGCUAUUAGAUGAGCCUGCGUCCUAUUAGCUAGUUGGUGAGGUAACGGCUCACCAAGGCGACGAUCGGUAACUGGUUUGAGAGAACGACCAGUCACAUUGGGACUGAGACACGGCCCGAACUCCUACGGGAGGCAGCAGUGGGGAAUAUUGGACAAUGGGGGCAACCCUGAUCCAGCGACGCCGCGUUUGUGAAGAAGGCCUUCGGGUUGUAAAGCACUUUCGGCAGGGACAAACAAGACGGAGCUAACAUCUCCGUUCCUGAUGGUACCUGAAGAAGAAGCACCGGCUAACUCUGUGCCAGCAGCCGCAGUAA
rnacentral:rRNA from 1 species